rnacentral:rRNA from 1 species
GACGAACGCUGGCGGCGUGCUUAACACAUGCAAGUCGAACGGACCUUUCGGGGUUAGUGGCGGACGGGUGAGUAACACGUGGGAACGUGCCUUUAGGUUCGGAAUAGCUCCUGGAAACGGGUGGUAAUGCCGAAUGUGCCCUUAGGGGGAAAGAUUUAUCGCCUUUAGAGCGGCCCGCGUCUGAUUAGCUAGUUGGUGAGGUAAUGGCUCACCAAGGCUACGAUCAGUAGCUGGUCUGAGAGGAUGACCAGCCACAUUGGGACUGAGACACGGCCCAAACUCCUACGGGAGGCAGCAGUGGGGAAUCUUGCGCAAUGGGCGAAAGCCUGACGCAGCCAUGCCGCGUGGAUGAUGAAGGUCUUAGGAUUGUAAAAUCCUUUCACCGGUGAAGAUAAUGACUGUAGCCGGAGAAGAAGCCCCGGCUAACUUCGUGCCAGCCGCCGCCGUAA